GAGAGGUCGGCUUCCUGAGAGGUAGGCAUGCACAUCUCAGCCAUUGGAAGAGGAUGAAGAGGAGAUCAGGGCACCAUCUCCCUCUCAGGACUUCAUGCAUGAGAUUGCCACUUCACAGAGAAUUUAUCAAACAUGGACAAACUUAUUUUUAAUCAUCAUGUUGAAAGGUAAGUUAAAAUAGCAUAUAACCUAUACAUAAGAAGCAAGAUAAAUACUCCAAUUGUAACCUAACUGAAAUGUCCCACUAUAAAGGGCAAAGGGUUUUCACCUGUAGUUUUUGCCUGUGAUGGCUACCCCUAGGCAAACUGUUUAAAAAGAC
rnacentral:lncRNA from 13 species